rnacentral:rRNA from 1 species
GUGGGGAAUAUUGGACAUUGGGGGGAACCCUGAUCCAGCCAUGCCGCGUGUGUGAAGAAGGCCUUUUGGUUGUAAAGCACUUUAAGCGAGGAGGAGGCUACCGAGAUUAAUACUCUUGGAUAGUGGACGUUACUCGCAGAAUAAGCACCGGCUAACUCUGUGCCAGCAGCCGCGGUAAUACAGAGGGUGCAAGCGUUAAUCGGAUUUACUGGGCGUAAAGCGCGCGUAGGUGGCCAAUUAAGUCAAAUGUGAAAUCCCCGAGCUUAACUUGGGAAUUGCAUUCGAUACUGGUUGGCUAGAGUAUGGGAGAGGAUGGUAGAAUUCCAGGUGUAGCGGUGAAAUGCGUAGAGAUCUGGAGGAAUACCGAUGGCGAAGGCAGCCAUCUGGCCUAAUACUGACACUGAGGUGCGAAAGCAUGGGGAGCAAACAGGAUUAGAAACCCCUGUAGUCC